rnacentral:rRNA from 1 species
GUAGUCUCGCACAGAUGCAUAUCAAUAAGCGGAGGAAAAGAAACUAACAAGGAUUCCCCUAGUAACGGCGAGUGAAGCGGGAAGAGCUCAAAUUUGAAAUCUUAAAGGGUUUCCCUUUACGAAUUGUAGUUUAAAGAAGUGUUUUCUGUUGAGGUUUUGGUAAAAGUUCUUUGGAAUAGGACAUCAUAGAGGGUGAGAAUCCCGUAUUUGACCUUUACUUUCAACUUUGUGAUACACUUUCAAAGAGUCGGAUUGUUUGGGAAUGCAGUCCAAAAUGGGUGGUAAAUUUCAUCUAAAGCUAAAUAUUGGCGAGAGACCGAUAGCGAACAAGUACCGUGAGGGAAAGAUGAAAAGAACUUUGAAAAGAGAGUUAAACAGUACGUGAAAUUGUCAAAAGGAAAGCGUUUGACACCAGUGUUGUUUUUCUGAAAAUCAAUUAAAGAACUGUUUAUGCUAAGUUGUUUAGACUUUAUCAGCUAACUGUUUAGUUUUGAGCUUUUCUUUAAUGCACUUUUCAGUUAACAAGUCAACAUCAAUUUCUUUUGCUGUAAAAAAGCUUGAGGAAGGUGGCUUGAGAUUCGUCUUAAGUGUUUAUAGGCCUCUUGCCUAUGCAGUCGGAGAGAUUGAGGUCUGCAGCGUAGAUCCUUCGGGGCUAAAUGCAUUUGUGCCUAAGUUAUAGCAUUUUAUAGACAACUUGUUGACUAUGAUUUGUCUUGUAGCUUACUCGCUUAUGUUAUUUUACCUACGCUUAGGAUGUUGAUCUGUAGUGCGUGCGC